UUUUGCCUGAAUUCGCCAUUAGAGGCACCGAAAAGGACCAGAAACCCAAAUCCUUCGCUGUAUUGUAUCUUUCUUGCGUUCGCUCCCUCCAUUGUUGUGAUAAUUUGUUCUCUUUACAGCACUGAUUAUAGAAAAUUUAUCUUCUUUGAAAGCAAUUGUUUGCAAUUUGCCGGCGAAGAAUUUGUGUUUUGGUUUUGAUUGUUAAGGUUAUAAGAAGAGGGAAAUGGAUGCGCAAGCAAGGAACAAAGCGUUGUUUCGUGCUAAAUUGAAUGCACAGAAGAAGGACAAGCGCAUAGAUUCUCCCCUUGUCAGGUACAAUGAAUUGGAUCAACCUGUCUGCAAGAUUUGUGAUGUCGUUCUGAAGUCUGAGUCCCAUUGGGACGCACACCAAGCUUCUCGUAAACAUCAUGAGGCAAUUAACAACUUAAAAGCUAAUGCAGCUAAGCGUACUCAGGCUAGCAAUACACAAUCUGGGCUGCCUCUGGGUUUUUUUGAUAAUAAUGGGACAGGGAAGCAAAAAACUGAGGCCGUCAAGUUGCCGGAUUCUAAUUCAAACAAAAAGCCGGGAAUUUCUGAACCAACUCAUGCUAUGGAGUCACUUUAUUCAGAGAAGGAGAAGGAUGAUCCCCCUCAAAGUAGUGUCACUCAAAACAAGAAGAUAGAGCCACCUGAGUCAAGACAGGUCACUGGGUUAGAAACAAAGCAAGUGAGGGGAUCUCUUCCUGAUGACUUCUUCGAUAAGGAUGAAACCAAUUUAACUGUGAAUGGCAUGAAGCCUGCUAGGGAUAAUAAACAGAAAUCAAUGCAGGCCACUGCUCCAGAAACCAAGCAAGCAAAGGGAGCUCUUCCUGAAGGAUUCUUUGACAAUAAGGAAGCUGAUUUGCGAGCUCGUGGCAUUAAACCGGUUAAGAUAGAUGUCAAAGAUGAGUACAAGGAAUUUGAAAAGUUGAUUCAAGAGGAUUUGCAAGAGGUGGAUGAUCGCAUGGAAGAAGAGGAGAUUGAUGCAGCUGAAAUGAUAGAAGAGGCUGAAUCUUUGGAGCAAAAGGUUUACAAGGAGAAAGUGGAAAUGUUGCGGAAGAGGAAACUGGAGUUGCAGGCCACUAGAUUGAAUAAACGUGGUAGGACAAAAGCUGAUAGCAAGGAAUCUAACAGUGAAGAGUCUUCUAGUGAUGAUGACAGCGAUGAGAAUUUUGCAGUUGAUUGGAGAGCUCAACAUCUUUGAAGUCUGUGGCAAACAUGGGGUUAGUACUCCUUGGAAGUGUGCAUUUUAAUGAGAAGUUGCUGACUACAAAAGGAAAACUAGUAAAAGAGGGUGUCUGUUGUUUUGUGUUCUACAAAUGUGGAUUUAGACAUCCAGAAAGAAAUAUAGCUGAAACUAUUUAGCAGUUAGAUCAAGACCCAAGUACAUUCUAUCGAGGUUUAUAUCACACAAAGCAGAUGAGCCUUGUCUUUUCAGGUUUAUAUAAUCAUUCACCUAAGUGGCAUAGCAUCCAUGGCCUUUGUAUAUAAGUUGGCUCAUCAGGUUGUCAAAAGUUUUAAUUAGUGACUUUUCUUCAUAGACGGCUUCUUGUGGACUGAUCACUUGUAAACCUGGUUUACAGCUUCAAUGAGGAUUUCUCUUUUGACUUGUAUGGUUUUGACGCCCAGCAGAAAGCUAAUUGGAGUUGGGUUUCGGUUUAUUAAAGAUGUAAUGUAGUUUGUCAAGAGUAACCUGAUGCAAAGGAAGAUGGUUCAAAUUUCAACUGGUUCUGCAUCUUGAUUCUGAUUCUAUUGCCUCAGCUCUUUUCCUUUUGUCAAAGAGGAUAAGGAAUCCAAAGGCUAUGCCUGAUAUUGGUCUUAACAAUAUAUUAAAUAGGAAUGGCCAUGUUUUGCACA